AGAGUUUGAUCCUGGCUCAGAGCGAACGCUGGCGGCAGGCUUAACACAUGCAAGUCGAGCGGGCGUAGCAAUACGUCAGCGGCAGACGGGUGAGUAACGCGUGGGAACGUACCUUUUGGUUCGGAACAACACAGGGAAACUUGUGCUAAUACCGGAUAAGCCCUUACGGGGAAAGAUUUAUCGCCGAAAGAUCGGCCCGCGUCUGAUUAGCUAGUUGGUGAGGUAACGGCUCACCAAGGCGACGAUCAGUAGCUGGUCUGAGAGGAUGAUCAGCCACAUUGGGACUGAGACACGGCCCAAACUCCUACGGGAGGCAGCAGUGGGGAAUAUUGGACAAUGGGCGCAAGCCUGAUCCAGCCAUGCCGCGUGAGUGAUGAAGGCCCUAGGGUUGUAAAGCUCUUUUGUGCGGGAAGAUAAUGACGGUACCGCAAGAAUAAGCCCCGGCUAACUUCGUGCCAGCAGCCGCGGUAAUACGAAGGGGGCUAGCGUUGCUCGGAAUCACUGGGCGUAAAGGGUGCGUAGGCGGGUCUUUAAGUCAGAGGUGAAAUCCUGGAGCUCAACUCCAGAACUGCCUUUGAUACUGAGGAUCUUGAGUUCGGGAGAGGUGAGUGGAACUGCGAGUGUAGAGGUGAAAUUCGUAGAUAUUCGCAAGAACACCAGUGGCGAAGGCGGCUCACUGGCCCGAUACUGACGCUGAGGCACGAAAGCGUGGGGAGCAAACAGGAUUAGAUACCCUGGUAGUCCACGCCGUAAACGAUGAAUGCCAGCCGUUAGUGGGUUUACUCACUAGUGGCGCAGCUAACGCUUUAAGCAUUCCGCCUGGGGAGUACGGUCGCAAGAUUAAAACUCAAAGGAAUUGACGG
rnacentral:rRNA from 1 species